GGAUAGUCGGCUCUGCGUCAUGCCACCAUGAUGGGCCACUGUCCAGUGUUCGUGCUCAGUCAGAAUACAAAACAUGAAUCUGGAAGAAAAGUUCAAUCUGGAAAUAUCAAUGCUGCAAGGACAAUUGCAGACAUCAUCCAGACCUGUUUGGAACCUAAAUCUAUGAUGAAGAUGCUUUUGGACACAAUGGAAGGCAUCAUGAUGACCAAUGAUGGCAACUCCAUCUUCGAGAGAUUCAAGUCCAGCAUCCUGCAGCAAAGUCCAUUAUUAAAAUUAGCAGGACCCACGAUGAAGAGGUUGGAGAUGGGACCACAUCAGUAAGUAUUCUUGCCAGAGAAAUGCUGUCUGUGGCUGAGCACUUCCUAGAGCAGCAGAUGCGCCCAACAGUGGUGGUCAGUGCUUACCACAUGGCGCUGGAUGAUAUGAUCAGCACUCUGAAGAGAAUCAGUACCCCUGUUGAUGUCAAUAACCGUGAUAUGAUGUUGAACAUCAUCAAUAGCUCUAUUACUACAAAAGUCAUCAGUCGGUGGUCCUCUUUGACGUGCAACAUUGCACUGGAUGCUGUUAAGACUGUGCAGUUUAAAGAGAGCAGCAGAAAGGAAAUUGACAUUAAGAAGUAUGCAAGGGUGGAAAAGAUACCCGAGGGCAUCACUGAAGACUCAUGUGUCUUACGUGGAGUCAUGAUUAACAAGGAUGUGACCCACCCAAGAAUGUGCUGCUAUGUUAAGAAUCCUCAAAUUGUGCUACUGGAUUGAUUCUUCUCUGGAGUACAAGAAAAGAGAAAGCCAUACUGACAUUGAGAUUACACGAGAGGAGGAUUUCACCCGAAUCCUGCAAAUGGAAGAAGAGUAUGUCCUGCAGUUGUGUGAGAAUAUUAUCCAGCUGAAAUCUGACGUGGUCACCACAGAAAAGGGCAUCUCAGAUUUAGCUCAGCACUACCUCAUGCGGACCAAUGUCACAGCCAUUCAUAGAGUCCAGAAAACAGACAAUAAUGGCAUUGCUAGAGCCUGUGGGACACAGAUAGUCAGCCGACCUGAGGAACUGAGAGAGGAUGAUGUUGGUACAGGGGCAGGCUUAUUGGAAAUGAAGAAGAUUGGAGAUGAAUACUUUACAUUCAUAACUGACUGCAAAGACCCAAAGGCCUGUACCAUAGUACUCUAGGAAGUAGAAUGCCACCUCCAGGAUGCCAUUCAAGUAUGCCACAAAGUUCUCCUAGACCCUCAGCUAGUGCCUAGGGGUAGAGCCUCUGAGAUGGCUGUGACCCAUGCUUUGACAGAAAAAUCUAAGGCCAUGACUGGUGUGGAAAAAUGGCUAUAUAGAGCUGUGGCCCAGGCUUUAGAGGUCAUCCCUCGGACCUUGAUCCAGAAAUGUGGGACCAGUACCAUUUGUCUGCUUACCUCCCUUCAGGCCAAGCACACACAGGAGAGUUGUGAGACCUGGGGUGUGAAUGGUAGGACUGGCAUCUUGGUAGACAUGAAAGAGCUGGGUAUUUGGGAGCCAUUGGCUGUGAAGCUACAAACAUACAAAACAGCAGUGGAGACUGCAGUUCUGCUUCUGCGGAUUGAUGACAUUGUCUCUGGCCACAAGAAGAAGAGUGAUGACCAGAACCAGCAAACCAGUGCUCCAGAUGCUGGCCAGAAGUGA